rnacentral:rRNA from 1 species
CACGUAGGCACCAAGCGUUGUCCGGAUUUAUUGGGCGUAAAGAGCUCGUAGGCGGUUCGGUAAGUCGGGUGUGAAAACUUUGGGCUCAACCCAAAGCCUGCACUCGAUACUGCUGUGACUUGAGUCCGGUAGGGGAGUGGGGAUUCCUGGUGUAGCGGUGGAAUGCGCAGAUAUCAGGAGGAACACCGGUGGCGAAGGCGGGUCUCUGGGCCGAUACUGACGCUGAGGAGCGAAAGCGUGGGGAGCAAACAGG